UGUCAACGAUCUUUAUAAAGUUGUUUGAAGCGUCUAUGAUAAACAGAGAGCAAAUUAGAAUCCAAGGAAGUUGACAUGUCAUCACUUCAUUUUUUUGCGCCUGCGCAUAAAUAUGAGAAACAAACCACAUUUGUUCCGGACCUGGAAUGCCUUCCGGACCUGGGAUCCUGCCUUCUGAUGGAGAUAAUCAAAGGAGGCUUCCUUGUCAUGCACCACUAUUUUCAACAAGAAGCUUCCUUGGGUUGUGCCGUGGCGGAGAUCUUUGUGGGCUAUACUCGACCUUGUCUCAGGGUGGGGGACCUGAGCCCUAGGACCAUGCCUCAGGACUACCUGGCAUGAUGACUCCUUGCUGUCCCCAGUCCACCUGGCCGUGCUGCUGCUCCAGUUUCUACUGUUCUGCCUGCGGCUAUGGAACCCUGACCUGUUCACCGGACGUGCUACCUGUCCCAGACCUGCUGUUUUCAACUCUCUAGAGACAGCAGGAGACGUAGAGAUACUCUCAAUGAUCGGCUAUGAAAAGCCAACUGACAUUUACUCUUGAGGUGCUGACCAGUUGCACCCUCGACAACCACUGUGAUUAUUAUUAUUUGACCAUGCUGGUCAUUUAUGAACAUUUGAACAUCUUGGCCAUGUGCUGUUAAAAUCUCCACCCGGCACAGCCAGAAGAGGACUGUCCACCCCCAUAGCCUGGUUCCUCUCUAGGUUUCUUCCUAGGUUUUGGCCUUUCUAGGGACUUUUUCCUAGCCACCGGGCUUCUACACCUGCAUUGCUUGCUGUUUGGGGUUUUAGGCUGGGUUUCUGUACAGCACUUUGAGAUAUCAGCUGAUGUAAGAAGGGCUAAAUAAAUACAUUUGAUUUGAUUUAAUAUCAACUCCAUUUAACAGGCUUCCUUGUAAUAUACCACUAUAUUCAACAGGCUUCCUUGUAAUAUGCCACUAUAUUCAACAGGAGGCUUCCUUGUCAUGUAAUAUCAUACCCAGCCAUGUGAGCGCUAAUAUCAUAUUAAGCAUUUAGCAUUUUCCAACCAUAGCAAGCCAUGUGAGCGCUAAUAUCAUAGUUAGCAUUUAGCAUGCGCCAUCCAUCCCCAGCCAUGUGUGCCCUUGUCGCGUCCUGACCAUGGUAAGCUGUUAUUUUUCUAUGGUAGAGUAGGUCAGGGCGUGACGGGGGUGUUUUUCUAUGUAUUGUUUUUCUAUGUUCAUGUUCUAGUUUUGUAUUUCUACGUUGGUUUUGUUUGGGAUGAUCUCCAAUUAGAGGCAGCUGGUCCCCGUUGUCUCUAAUUGGAGAUCAUACUUAAGUAGGUUUUUCUUUUUCCUUCUGGUGUUGUGGGAUCUUGUUUUUGUAUUGCUCAAUGAAGCUUGCAGAACGUGACGUUCGUGUUUCCUUGUUUAUUGUUUUUGUAUAGUGUUCUGAGUUAAUAAUAAAUAUUUAUCAUGAGCACUCAUCACGCUGCACCUUGGUCUACUCCUUACGACAAUCGUAACAGCCCUAAUAUCGGCACAUUUAGCAUACUCCAUCUGUACCCAGCCAUUUGUGCGCUAAUGUCAUAGUUAGCAUGCAACAAAUCUAUAUUCCACAUUAGGAAACCCAGGGCUGACAUAUUGGCUUCCUGUCUGUAUUAUUAAGUGACGGCAGACUGCUGCUCUGUGUGAUUAACCACUAAACUGUCUGUGGACAUUAUGUUCAACCACAUUAUAGUUUAGAUCAGGCCACAGGAGGCCAAGCAGGGCUUCUGAUCAACUGAUUGCUGGAUCUUCAUGUUGUGGCUGACCGAUUCAUCACCAGGGAUGUGUCUAAAAUGGCUGACCUAAUCAUCCCCAGGGUUGUGUCCAAAAUGGCUGACUUAAUCAUCACCAGGGAUGUGUCUAAAAUGGCUGACCUAAUC
rnacentral:lncRNA from 1 species